rnacentral:rRNA from 1 species
GAUGAACGCUGGCGGCGUGCCUAACACAUGCAAGUCGAGCGAUUUACUUCGUUAAAGAGCGGCGGACGGGUGACUAACGCGUGGGUAACCUGCCCUGUACACACGGAUAACAUACCGAAAGGUAUGCUAAUACGGGAUAAUAUGAGAGAGUCGCAUGGCUUUCUUAUCAAAGCUUUUGCGGUACAGGAUGGACCCACGUCUGAUUAGCUAGUUGGUAAGGUAACGGCUUACCAAGGCGACGAUCAGUAGCCGACCUGAGAGGGUGAUCGGCCACAUUGGAACUGAGACACGGUCCAAACUCCUACGGGAGGCAGCAGUGGGGAAUAUUGCACAAUGGGCGAAAGCCUGAUGCAGCAACGCCGCGUGAGCGAUGAAGGCCUUCGGGUCGUAAAGCUCUGUCCUCAAGGAAGAUAAUGACGGUACUUGAGGAGGAAGCCCCGGCUAACUACGUGCCAGCCGCCGCCGUAAGAC